rnacentral:rRNA from 1 species
CUGACGACCGGCGAACGGGUGCGUAACGCGUAUGCAACCUACCCUUAACUGGAAGAUAGCCCGGUGGAAACCGGAUUAAUAUUCCAUAGUAUUACGAAAUGGCAUCAUUUUGUAAUUAAAGCUCCGGCGGUUAAGGAUGGGCAUGCGUCCCAUUAGUUAGUUGGUGAGGUAAUGGCUCACCAAGGCAGCGAUGGGUAGGGGUUCUGAGAGGAUUAUCCCCCCACACUGGUACUGAGACACGGACCAG